rnacentral:rRNA from 1 species
UACAGAGGUCUCAAGCGUUGUUCGGAUUCAUUGGGCGUAAAGGGUGUGUAGGUGGCGCGCUAAGUCGGGUGUGAAAUUUCGGAGCUUAACUCCGAAACUGCAUUCGAUACUGGCGUGCUUGAGGACUGGAGAGGAGACUGGAAUUCAUGGUGUAGCAGUGAAAUGCGUAGAGAUCAUGAGGAAGACCAGUGGCGAAGGCGGGUCACUGGCCCGGUACUGACGCUGAGGUGCGAAAGCGUGGGGAGCAAACAGG